CUCAGAAACCAAGACAUCUAAUCCAUCAGAGCCUAAGAUUUCAGAGGAAGGAAGCAUAAAUUCCUCACAGGUGACUGGCAGUGGUGGUGAGAAAGGCCAUUCUUCUUUCAUCAAUGAGCUUUUAGCAUCACAAGUAGAAACAUAUUCACCAACAGGAAGUCCUGGAACACAGCCAGUGCAACAGCAGUGAAGUUAUUCUUUGCUACAAUACUGCUCCACUGGACUAAACAAGUAUAAAAAAUGGAUGACAGCAGGAGGACACCUGGCCAGCUGUUGUAUGGUGAGCUGAACUGAGGAGAUCUCAAAUAGGGCAGGCUGAAGGAACAUGCCACAGACACAUUGAAGAACAAUUUCAAGUAAUGGAAGCAUGGCUGCAGAAGACUGGGAAAUAAUAUCAGGAGGAAGACUGACCCAAUGUGGAGCAAUUGGAGCAGCAAAGGUGUGCAGCCAGGUGAAGCUGCAGCAUUUCAGCUUGCAACAGCUUUUGUAAAGAGCAGUCCCUCUCCCAAUCAAAGAGCCCCAUCCACCUGUAUUAUCUGAGUAAACAUGGCAGAUUUCUUACCAUA